rnacentral:rRNA from 1 species
AACGAACGCUGGCGGCAUGCCUAACACAUGCAAGUCGAACGAGACCUUCGGGUCUAGUGGCGCACGGGUGCGUAACGCGUGGGAACCUGCCCUUAGGUUCGGAAUAACUCCCCGAAAGGGGUGCUAAUACCGGAGAAUGUCUUCGGUCCAAAGAUUUAUCGCCUUUGGAUGGGCCCGCGUUGUAUUAGAUAGUUGGUAGGGUAAAACCCUACCAAGGCUACGAUCCAUAGCUGGUUUGAGAGGAUGAUCAGCGACACUGGGACUGAGACACGGCCCAGACUCCUACGGGAGGCAGCAGUGGGGAAUAUUGGACAAUGGGCGAAAGCCUGAUCCAGCAAUGACGGGUGAGUGAUGAAGGCCUUAGGGUUGUAAAGCUCUUUUACCCGGGAUGAUAAUGACAGUACCGGGAGAAUAAGCACCGGCUAACUCCGUG